CCUAGGGGAGGCAGCAGUAGGGAAUAUUGGGCAAUGGGCGCAAGCCUGACCCAGCGACGCCGCGUGAGGGAUGAAGGUCGUCGGAUUGUAAACCUCUUUCAGUAGGGAAGAAGCGAAAGUGACGGUACCUAAAGAAGAAGCACCGGCUAACUAUGUGCCAGCAGCCGCGG
rnacentral:rRNA from 1 species